UACGUAGGCGGAAAAUUAAGUCAGUAGUGAAAUCCUGCAGCUUAACUGUAGAACUGUUAUUGAUACUGGUUUUCUUGAAUAUAGUUGAGGUAGGCGGAAUGUGUAAUGUAGCGGUGAAAUGCUUAGAUAUUACACAGAACACCGAUUGCGAAGGCAGCUUACUAAACUAUUAUUGACGCUGAUGUACGAAAGCGUGGGGAGCGAACAGGAUUAGAUACCCUGGUAGUCC
rnacentral:rRNA from 1 species